GAACCGUACAAACGUUAUUCGGGAAUUAUUGGGGCUUAAAGGGGUGCGUAGGCGGUGCUGUAAGUUGGGUGUGAAAUCCCACGGCUCAACCGUGGGAACUGCGCUCAAAACUGCAGUGCUAGAGGGAGAUAGAGGUGAGCGGAACCGAUGGUGGAGCGGUGAAAUGCGUUGAUAUCAUUGGGAACACCGGUGGCGAAAGCGGCUCACUGGGCCUCUUCUGACGCUGAGGCACGAAAGCUAGGGGAGCGAACGGGAUUAGAUACCCCGGUAGUCCUAGCUGUAAACGAUGAGCACUGGGCUGGAGGGAUCCCAUUUCCUUCUGGCCGAACCGAAAGAGUUAAGUGCUCCGCCUGGGGAGUAUGGUCGCAAAGGCUGA
rnacentral:rRNA from 1 species